UUCAAGGUCAACUUUGACUUUCAUCCUUGAAAAUAAACCAUUACUGGCGUUGAUUUCUUCGAGUAAAGCUCUCUUCUAUAACGUUUAACCUUAUAAAUAAUUAUCUUCACCUUGGCUCCUCUUCAUAACUAUGUUUCCAAGUUUCAUGCGAGUUUUCUACUGCACCAUCCCCGAGUGCAAUUGCCUGGUCCUCAGCUAUUUAGCAGCAUUGUGUUAACGAGCCUCAUCUUUGCGAAGAAGAUUACAUUAUCUGAAUGAAGAAAUCUCGAACAUAUUUCUGUGACAAAUCCAUUUUUAACUCAUUCUUCCAAGUCAACUUCACAUGAUCUCAGGAUGUCGAAAACUAAAAAAGGUUCCCUUACCAGCGAUGAAAAUCCUCCACGAAAGAUACCUAUUGUACCCG